rnacentral:rRNA from 1 species
UACGUAAGGACCGAGCGUUGUCCGGAAUCAUUGGGCGUAAAGGGUACGUAGGCGGUUAGAAAAGUUAGGAGUGAAAGGCUAUAGCUCAACUAUAGAAAGCUUUUAAAACUGUUUAACUUGAGAGAUGGAAGGGAAAGGGGAAUUCCUAGUGUAGCGGUGAAAUGCGUAGAUAUUAGGAGGAAUAACGGUGGCGAAGGCGACUUUCUGGCCAUAAACUGACGCUGAGGGACUAAAGCGUGGGUAGCAAAUAGG